rnacentral:rRNA from 1 species
UUGCCAGCCCGCUCAGAAACUCAAGGAAGUUGACGGGGCCCGCACAAGCGGUGGAGCAUGUGGUUAAUUCGAUGAUACGCGAGGAACCUUACCUGGGCUCAAAUGUAUGUUGACGUAUUCUGAAAGGGAUACUUCUUCGGACAAUAUACAAGGUGCUGCAUGGUUGUCGUCAGCUCGUGCCGUGAGGUGUCGGGUUAAGUCCCAUAACGAGCGCAACCCUAUCAUUAGUUGCCAUCAGGUCAAGCUGGGGACUCUAAUGAAACUGCCUACGCAAGUAGUGAGGAAGGUGGGGAUGACGUCAAAUCAGCACGGCCCUUACGUCCAGGGCUACACACGUGCUACAAUGGCCGGUACAAAGGGCAGCUACCUGGUGACAGGAUGCUAAUCUCAAAAGCCGGUCUCAGUUCGGAUCGGAGUCUGCAACCCGACUCCGUGAAGCUGGAAUCGCUAGUAAUCGUGAAUCAGAAUGUCACGGUGAAUACGUUCCCGGGCCUU